UACGUGGGGUGCAAGCGUUGUCCGGAUUUACUGGGCGUAAAGAGCGUGUAGGCGGCUCGAUAAGUCCGCUGUGAAAGUCCAGGGCUCAACCCUGGAAGGCCGGUGGAAACUGUCGGGCUAGAGUCCGGAAGAGGCGAGUGGAAUUCCCGGUGUAGCGGUGAAAUGCGCAGAUAUCGGGAGGAACACCAAUGGCGAAGGCAGCUCGCUGGGACGGUACUGACGCUGAGACGCGAAAGCGUGGGGAGCAAACAGGG
rnacentral:rRNA from 1 species